GCACUGGUGGUUCAGUGGUAGAAUUCUUGCCUUCCACGUGGGAGACCUGGAUUCGAUUCCUGGCCACUGCA
rnacentral:tRNA from 1 species